UACAGAGGUCUCAAGCGUUGUUCGGAUUCAUUGGGCGUAAAGGGUGCGCAGGCGGCCGUGUGUGUCAGGUGUGAAAGCCCGGGGCUUAACCCCGGAAUUGCGCCUGAAACUACAUGGCUAGAGCAUUGGAGAGGGUAGCGGAAUUCACGGUGUAGCAGUGAAAUGCGUAGAUAUCGUGAGGAACACCAGAGGCGAAGGCGGCUACCUGGACAAUUGCUGACGCUCAGGCACGAAAGCGUGGGGAGCAAAAGGG
rnacentral:rRNA from 1 species